rnacentral:sRNA from 1 species
ACUUUAACUUCCUGGAGCUCUAAUUUCUCCUUCUCAGAUCAGCAUCCCCAGAACACACCUGUAUUAAGUCAAAGACCUUGGACCCAAUGGUCAUCUUCUUCACCAGUGGGACCACAGGCUUCCCCAAGAUGGCAAAACACUCCCAUGGGUUGGCCUUACAACCCUCCUUCCCAGGAAGUAGGAAAUUACGGAGCCUGAAGACAUCUGAUGUCUCCUGGUGCCUGUCGGACUCAGGAUGGAUUGUGGCUACCAUUUGGACCCUGCUAGAACCAUGGACAGCGGGUUGUACAGUCUUUAUCCACCAUCUGCCACAGUUUGACACCAAGGUCAUCAUACAGACAUUGUUGAAAUACCCCAUCAACCACUUUUGGGGGGUAUCAUCUAUAUAUCGAAUGAUUCUGCAUCAGGAUUUCACCAGCAUCAGGUUCCCUGCCCUGGAGCACUGCUGUACUGGCAGGGAGGUCGUGUUGCCCAAGGAUCAGGAGGAGUGGAAAAGACGGAUGGGCCUUCUGCUCUACGAGAACUAUGGGCAGUCAGAAACGGGACUAAUUUGUGCCACCUACUGGGGAAUGAAGAUCAAGCCGGGUUUCAUGGGGAAGGCCACUCCACCCUACGACGUCCAGGUCUGGUCCUAAGGGCAUUGGCAGGGAGCAGUUAGGGCUCAGCGGGGGUUGGACAAUUUGACACCAGGUGACAACACCAGCCGCACUUCCCUGCUCCAGUCAUCCUUCCUCCUCUCUUAUCAUUUAUCCCUUAGUUUCAUAUGGAGGCCUCAGUUGAAAACUGCAUUAUUGUGAGCAUGAACACCACUGACCCUGGCAGCCAGGGCAUCACACACAGUAGGUAGGAAAGAAUACCUAGAGGCUGCACUGGGAGCCCUCUCUAGCAAGUGGUGCUUUUCAUUUUUUUUGAUCAGUGUUUUCCAACUUGAAGACACAUUGGUGACAUCUACUAACUCAUGAAACAUAGACCCUUGGCUUGAGUUUCACAUUUGCGUAUUUUAAAGGCUUUUGACAGUUUUAUUCCAUUUUCUGAUGUUUCCUCUGUUAUUUCAUCCACACUGGUGUCCCAUGCAUAAACCAGACAGUGCUUGGGUGGGGCAGAAGGGCUGCGGCCUCCUGCAGUGUAUGAUUCACAGGCCUCUUGCUACAGGUCAUUGAUGACAAGGGCAGCAUCCUGCCACCUAACACAGAAGGAAACAUUGGCAUCAGAAUCAAACCUGUCAGGCCUGUAAGCCUCUUCAUGUGCUAUGAGGGUGACCCAGAGAAGACAGCUGAAGUGGAAUGUGGGGACUUCUACAACACUGGGGACAGAGGUAUCGCAUCGGGCCUGCAGAGGUUGAAAGCGCUUUGGUGGAGCACCCAGCGGUGGCAGAGUCAGCCGUGGUGGGCAGCCCAGACCCGAUUCAAAGGGAGUUCCUGUCCCAUGACAAGGAUCAGCUGACCAAGGAACUGCAGCAGCAUGUCAAGUCAGUGACAGCCCCAUACAAGUACCCAAGGAAGCGGAAAAAGGAGACUGGUCAGAUGUAAUUGGCAGUGAACUCAGAACCCACUGCACACCUAAGGCAAAUCCCUGGUCACUUUAGUCUCCCCAGUAUGGUGAGGACGAGGGUGGGGCAUUGAGAGUGUUGAUUUGGGAAAGUAUCAGGAGUGCCACGAUUCCAAUGUUUUCCUUCUUUUAAAUUAAAUUCAGUUGCUCUGCUUCCUCCAAGUCCUCUGUAUCUUUAGAAUUUCCCAGGUGAGCACUCAUAACGCAAGUAAUAAAAUACUGAUAUCAAC